rnacentral:rRNA from 1 species
UACGUAGGGGGCAAGCGUUGUCCGGAAUUAUUGGGCGUAAAGAGCGUGUAGGCGGCCAGAUAAGUCCGCUGUGAAAUCUCGAGGCUCAACUUCGAGCUGUCGGUGGAAACUAUCUGGCUAGAGUCCGGAAGAGGAGAAUGGAAUUCCUGGUGUAGCGGUGAAAUGCGCAGAGAUCGGGAGGAACACCAGUGGCGAAAGCGGCUCUCUGGUCCAAAACUGACGCUGAGGGGCGAAAGCGUGGGGAGCGAACGGG